rnacentral:rRNA from 1 species
AAGGAUUCCCCUAGUAACUGCGAGUGAAGCGGGAAAAGCUCAAUUUGUAAUCUGGCGCCUUCGGUCGUCCGAGUUGUAAUCUAGAGAAGUGCUUUCCGCGCUGGACCGUGUACAAGUCUCCUGGAACGGAGCGUCGUAGAGGGUGAGAAUCCGUCUUUGACACGGACUACCAGUGCUCUGUGAUGCGCUCUCGAAGUCGAGUUGUUUGGGAAUGCAGCUCAAAAUGGGAGGUGA